CUCACAGCGAGAGAUUUCCGUGAGUGACUCGUCCUCUGAGAUCCUGCACAGAUAAAUGUCUCCGCAACAGUUUCUACCCCUCCCUGGAGGUGGAUGCCUGGUUUUACAAUAGCCAACAUUACUCUGGACCAGGUAGCCCUGGGAAAGGAGAAAUGAGCUGGCGGCUUGCCCUCCUGGUAUAUCAGCAGACCGAGCCCUGGCUUCACAGAACAAGGACUAUUUGAUGCCAUCAAAUUUGACUGGAAAAAAGAAAUCUGCACAGAAUUCAUCACAUUCUCAAGUUUCAGCCUCAUCUGCUUCAGCCCGUGUUAAAUAUGGUCCCACUCGAGGGAGACACCAAGCCUAUGAUGAUGAGAAAGACGGGGAUGAGGAUGACCGUCCCAGGACCAGCACAGCCGCCAGGAGGCCUUUCCAGCUAUCUUUGCUAACCCUCCACACUCUUGGGUCAUUCUUGGUCACAAGUCAGCAAACACAGGGCCACCUACUGGGGUACUAAGUUGCCAGAAACAAUGAAUAUUGGUUUUAUGCCAGGACAUCAGAAAAAGACCUGCCCACUGGCCCAGGGAGUAGAGACCAUACUACUGUCCUGGGGGAAAACAGGGAGAGAGAGCGUCAUAUGACAAAAGCCAAAUCGAAUAGUGACUGUUGCCUGUGCUUCUUAGCAACUUACCAAGAAGGACAUCUGAUGUGGGAAUUUAAUCAAGGGACUUUCCCAAGGCACCACUAUAUUUUUUUUGGUCAGCAAAACAGAAGCAAAAUUAUCCUAAAAACAUGAGCAUAUUGGAUUUUAGAGUUAUAUCUUCCUACUUUUUGUUUAAAAAGUAACUCUAUUAACUAGAUAAUAUGAGUAUUUUUUUCCACUUUCUGCUUCAAACCGCCAGUGUUGAAAAUAAGCCAGUCUGGUUUAGGAUGUGGGCCUGCUGGUAGGAAGCCACACCCAACAACCAGAAGUAUAUUUUAACUCUGGCCAGUUCUUUUUAUUUAUUUUAAUCUUUUUUUGUUUGUUUUCAAGUUUUAUUUUAACUGUUGUACAGUUUUCUGUCUUUUGCUGCUAUCCCAGGCCACCCCCCAUUUCCACCCCCCUUGUUAUUGUCCAUGUGUGCUUUAUACUUGUUCCUGUAAACCUUUCCCCUUUUCUCCUGAAAUUCCCUCCCCUAUCCCUUGUUCCAAUCUUUUAAGUAUAUUUUAUUGAUUAAUGGCUAGUCCUUUUUAAUGAGAACAUAGUCAGCAUGGAAGGAAACAAAAUACACUAUCAAUAAAAAUAUAUU